UCUGAUCAUAAAUCCACAAUUCAUCGGAUCUCGACAAACACACCGCAAAAUAAGAUUACAUCGGAUAGAUCUCCAUGCAGAUCAUGGAGAACUUUGUAUUGAAGAUCCAAGAGAGAGAAGAAGCUAUCUAGCUACUAGCUAUGGACCCGAAGGUCUGUGGUAAACUACUCACGCAUCAUCGGAGAGGCAAUGGUGUUGAUGAAGAAGCACUCCGUGUCUGAAUCCCCCCUCCGGCAGGGCACGAGAACGUGCCCCAGAUGGGAUCUUGCGGAGACAGAAGCUUGCGGCGGUGGAAAAGUAUUUUCGUGGCUCCCUCCUGUGGUUUCAGAUUUUCCGGGGAUUUAUAGGCAGAAGAAGUAGGGCAAAGGAGCCACAGGGGGCCCACAAGACUGCUAGGUGCCCCCAGGUCGCAGUUAGGGAGCUUGUGGCCUCCCCUGGUGCCCUUUGCCUUGGUUCUCAAGCUCCAUGCGUAUCUUCUGUUCCGAAAAAAUAUAUUUUCGGAGGUUUUAUUCCGUUUGGACUCGUUUAAUAUUCUCCUCUGAAAAAGGUCAAAAACACGGAAAAAACAGGAACUGGCACUUGGCACUGAGUUAAUAAGUUAGUCCCAAAAAAUAUAUAAAAUGGAUACAAAACAUCCAAAGUUUGACAAGAUAAUAACAUGGAACCAUCAAAAAUUAUAGAUACGUUGGAGACGUAUCAAGUAUCUAGGUGACAUUAGGGUCUUGGUUGAUGUGUGUCUUAAGGUGUUAUUCUAGUACGAACUCUAGGAUAGAUUGAACGGAAAGAAUAGCUUCGUGUUAUUUUACUACGGACUCUUGAAUAGAUCGAUCAGAAAGAAUAACUUUGUGGUGGUAUCGUACCCAACAAUAAUCUCUUCGUUUGUUCUCUGCUAUUAGUGACUUUGGAGUGACUCUUUGUUGCAUGUUGAGGGCUAGUUAUAUGGUCCAAUUAUGUUAUCAUUGUUGAGAGAACUUCACUAGUGAAAGUAUGAACCCUAGGCCUUGUUUCCACGCAUUGCAAUACCGUUCGUGCUCACUUUUAUUAUU
rnacentral:lncRNA from 1 species